CGCGUACUCCUCGUUGCCAUUCGCGAAUAUUGAAUGCGAAUGGCAUCAGGAGGUCGGCGAG
rnacentral:pre_miRNA from 1 species